CCCGUACUAGUGGAUUGGAAGAAGUAAUAUUAUAAAAAUGUCCACCCUAUUCAAAGCCAUUGAAAGAGUCAAUGUCAUUCUUAUCAAAAUGAAAGUGGUAUUUUUAUAGAAAUAGAAAAAGCAGUCUUAAAACUUAAAUGAAACUACAAAAGAUCUAAAGUAGCCAAAGCAAUCUCAAAAAAGAACAAAGCUGGAGGCAUCACAUUUCCUGAUUUUAAGAUUAAAAUAGAAUAGUGCUGACAUAAAGACAGAUACACAGACCAAUGGAGCAGGAUGGAGAACCCCAAAAUAAAUUCACUCCUAUAUGGUCAACUGAUAUUUACCAAGAUGCCAAGAACACACAAUUGGGAAAAGAAAAUGUCUUCAACAAAUGGUGCUGGGAAAACCUCAAAUCCACAUGCAAAAGAACAGAAUCAGAUGCUUAUCUUACACUAUUUACAAAAAUCAACUCAAAAUCAAUCAAAGACUUAAGCAGAAGACCCCAAAUUGUCAACUCCUGAAAGAAAACAUGGUGGUGGUGGGACUCCUUAACAUCAAUCACAGCAAGUAAUUUUUGGAUUUAAUACCAAAAGCACAGGCAAAAAUCAAACAAACAGAAAUAAAUAAGUAGGACCCCAACAAAUUAAAACUCUUUUGCACAGCACAGGAAGCAGUCAACAAAGUAAAAAAGCAACCUACAGAAUGAGAUAUAAUAUUUGAACCAUCUAUCUGAUAAAGAGCUAAUAUCCAAAAUAGAAAACUCUUCUACAAUGCAUCGCCAUAGAAACAUCCUACAAAGGCUUGAAAAAAAAAAAAAGUCUUAAGACUUAAGUCUUAAGACAAGAUGCUCAGCAUCGAUAAUCAUUAGGGCUUUACAAAUCAAAACCCCUAAUGAGUUAUGAAUUCAUACUUGUUAAGAUUAUAUUAUACACAAAAGUCAAGUGUUAGCAAGUAUGUGGAGAAACUGGAAGCCUUACACAUUGAUGGGAAGGAAGAAUGGUGAAGCUGUUAUGGAGUUUCAUCAAAUUAAAAGCCAAGGUAGAGCGUGAUCCAACAGUCCCACUUCUGGAUAUACAUGUCCAAAACUACGGAAGUCACAAUAUUGAAGAGGCACCU
rnacentral:lncRNA from 1 species